rnacentral:lncRNA from 1 species
AAAAUUCGAUUGAAAAGUGAGUUUAAAGUGGAAAUCCGCAUCAUAAGAAUAAAUAAGGAUAUCCUUACCUGAGAAAGCCUUGUGUAUAUAUAUAUAUAUAUAUAUAUAUAUAUAUAUAUAUAGAGUCCGGAUCUAGAGAGGACAACCUUAAACUCUUAAAGUAAGGAUGUUUUUAGUUAUAACAUGUAUUUUGAUAAUCAAAAUCACUCAUUUCUUAGUUACUUACAUACAUACAUGAAACCUACAAAAAAUUAGUCAAAAUGAAAAACGUUUAACCAUUUGAUUAGCAUAAUAUUCGUUUUAAUUUUAUCUAACGGCCUACAAUUGUUUACAUCAAUUUGAAUGACCAAAUUAUUAUGGAAUUAGUUGAAAUUUUGUAGACAUGUUUCUUGUUUCUUGCAUAUGAAUCUAGAGGAUCAACGGUUGAGAUCGUUAAAAAAAGUCAUCUACUAAUGUAAAAUAGUAUAAAUCAUUAAAUUCUUAAAGUAAGGUGGUCGUCUUUAGAUCAUCUCUCUAUAUAUAUAAUCCAUGUUGUAAUACUUCGACAAUUUAGUAACUGAACUUAUUUCGAUAUACAUGGUUUAAUUAGGAUUUGUAUCAAGAUGAUUUAAGUGAGAAUCGUACAGUAGUUGUCAGGACCCACCCCGAAUACCCAUCCCGAUACCCGAGGUAAAUCCUGUUGGGUCCACCUUCAAGGAAAAUUUACGGCAAUAACCUCCCUUGAAAAUGGAAAACCUUUCUAAAAGCACCUGUAAUUCUAAAAUUUCAAAUCCAACCUUAAACACCUGGAACCUUCGUGCUCCCCAAAUUCACAACACCUCUCAAUUUAAUUAUUAAACUAAAUAAAAUCCCACAACAAACAAUUUAUUUGUUCAGAGCGACUCUAAUAAGGAUAAAAGGAAACAAAAUAAAUAAAUAAGCAGAAGCUAUAAAAUACACUAUGCCUUGUCUCCAUGUACGCCCGACCUCAACUAAGCUAACUUGCAAGCUGGGCAUUUAAAAUCGAAAGGCCCAAGGGAAAACAUUUGAAAAAUGUUAGAGUGAGUGGACAAAAAUAAAGUUUAAAAAAAAUAAAUCUUUAUGUUUUUCCGAUUUAAUUUCCAUAGAAUUUAUGCUGCAUGCGACAUCUCAAACUAUUCAUAUUCUCUGUAGGACAAAUAGGUCAGACCGUACUCUGAACAACUAUUGACUCAACGUCUUUCCUAGUUUGACUAGGGUUCCUGGGUUGACCAGGAUUGGCCAAGUUUGACCCACGGUUGACCAACAAAUAUUAAUAAUCAUUUUGGACUAACUUCGCAACUAUAACUCAUUCGGUUCCAACCCAAACCUUAACUUGGAAUCGAAGUCACAAUCAACUUCCAAGCCUUUAACACAUCAACUAAUUUACUUCCAAAUUCAUCACAUAGUAAUCUGGUCUAGAUUAUAGAGUUACUAUGGACAGUGUUCAUAUUACCAAAAUUAUUUUAUGGUCCCCUACGUUAAUGCGUGCCAACAUACAGUACCAACAAUUCCAUCAUUCCCUCUCUACACAACUUCACCCAAAAUUUACUAAGGGCACCCAAAAGGGUUUCCAUGAAUAGAAAGUUUCUAUAAGGGGAAAGUUUCUUCCUAACUUAAUAAGUUUUCCAAUUAUACUCCGAACUUUCCUAUUUAGGAAUUACGACUUGGAUUAGAAAGAAUAGUCUCAAAAACUACCUUAACGGUUCUCAGCCGGAUAUGCUGCCUCGCUGAAACCCCCCACGGGAUUCCGGCGACUUGCUGGAAUAUUCUGCUGGAUUCCGACAUAAAGAGCUGUGUCGCCUCACGGUAAAAAAAAGAUACGUCGCCUUCUAGCUUGUCGUUGUUUAAACUAUCAAGCGACAUAUAUACCGUGUCGUCUUAUCUCAAUUCAGGCGACACAAAAUGAAAAAAGUCUUAUGUCGCCUGAGGUUCUUAUAGGCGACACAACAUUUGUGUCGUCGAAGAACUUCAUCAACGACAUGCUAGAAGGCGACACUUAUGAUUUUUAUCAGGCGACACAACUGUUGUGUCGCCUGAUGCAAGAAAUGGCAUAGUGUA